GUAUAAACAUUUUUUUUUAUUACACCCCAAGAUAAUGAAGCGACAUUGAGAUUUAAGGUUCAUGAACAGUUAAGGAUUAUGGUUCAGUAGCGAAGAAAAUACCAAUUUAAUAUGGAACGUGAGAAAACUAAUGGAGCGGAGCAACGUGGACGGCGAGGCAAAAGUGUUGAUGUCACUUUUAUGUUUCAUCGCCGUUCAAGUUUUGAGAUGCAGAAUGAAACAAUUCCUCGAGACUCUGCCGAUAAUCUUUCAAAACUCCGGAAAAGGAUACGAAAUAAAUCGUGGCCAAGUGAAGCUUUACGAAAAAAUUCCUUGCCAGUCGAGAAAAGAUCUCAGUUGUCUAGAGCUGCGUUUAAUGAGCGCAGACGAUCACAUUAUGCAAGAUAUAACGGACAUCUGUUUGACAGGAACAAAACUGGGCGAUGGCAAGGGGAUUAUAUCAAGAUGAACGUACCCAAGAAAUGGCUUAGAGAAUAUGAGAAAAAGCAAGCAGAUCUUCGGGAGCAAGCCAAAGAAAAUCUUCAGGUUGAACUUCUCAAGGCCACAGUGACUCACUCUGUUCUGUGUGUGUUAUUUUUUAGCCUCUGGAUCGAUUUAGACAUGCUGUUAGACUGGUAAGCAUGAUACGAUCACUAAUCACCCUUGCUGAUGGCACAUCCAUCGCUGCUGCUGUUGUUGUUGUUUUCACCCACGUUAGGUUAAAACUCUUAACACUUCUUUUCGGAACAUCGUACAUUACGCUGUAAAGAAAGGCCAGUAUGAACAAGUUACCUCUGAC